rnacentral:sRNA from 1 species
UCUUUUUUGCUAAGAAUCUUUUGACUUUACACGCAUUCUCAAACUCGAACUAGGGAGGAGACUCACAUAAUUACGUCUCCACUAAUGCAUAUAUCGUCUACUUUGGUAAAAGUCCUAUCUCUUGGUCUGCAAA